UCCAGGGUAACCUAGUGGACAUGGCAUCUGCCCGGUAAGCGGAACACAGUGGGUUCGAUUCCCAUCCCUGGAC
rnacentral:tRNA from 1 species